rnacentral:rRNA from 1 species
GGGCCCGGCACAAGCAGUGGAGUAUGUGGAUUAAUUCGAAGCAACGCGAAGAACCUUACCAGGUCUUGACAUCGUAUGCAUAACUCAGAGAUGAGAGAAAUCCCUUCGGGGACUUCCCGGGCCUUGUACACACCGCCCGUCACACCAUGGGAGCCGGUAAUACCCGAAGUCAGUAGUCCAACCUCGUGAGGACGCUGCCGAAGGUAGGAUUGGCGACUGGGGUGAAGUCGUAACAAGGUAUC